rnacentral:piRNA from 1 species
UGGAUGAGCUGUCCACAAUAACCCUGUGA